GAUGGGAAGAUGCAGUUGUACUGGAGCGGUUCUUCAUUUUGUGCACAGCCAGGUGAAACACAAACAGUGACAAAUUGAUGAUGGAGCGGAACACAUUAGCGUGAAAAUCCUCAGAUGCCUCAUAAGGUAUUUCCUCUGAGUCUGCUGAAGUGAUAACACUAUUGCAAGUGGCUUCUCCAGAAAGGAAAUAGUCCCUUGUUGGCAAUCGGUUUGAUUGGAUUGCGGUGAAGCUUCACAUCAGUACUGAAAUACAAUCUGUAUAGCCAGCAGAAGUAUGUUAGGAAACAAGGAGAGGAUUGCUGUGCAGGUUGUCGUUGUCUGGCAGCAUGGGGUGAGUUGGGGGCUGGCACCAGAAAGGGCAGCAAGUGGAAGGGUCUAAGCAGUGUACUCUCGAGAGGCUGAGAAACCCCAAAUGAAAGCAUCUCUAGUUCUCUCCUUGCCCCCUAGUGUCCAUUCAUGUUAAAGAUUCUGGUUCAUCCCUGAGAUUAAAGCAGUGUUUGUGCCUCUUGUGCAAGUUUUUUGGGGUAACUCUCCAGGUGGAUCUUUGAGCCCUUAAGAAAACAGAGGAGAAUACAUCUGCCCUUCAGCCCCGGCUUGCCCAAAACUUGUGUGAACAAUCUGGAUGUUGUGUCCCCAACCUCUUGGGUGCACAUACCAUGCUCACCCCAAUCUCUCACACCCAUGGGUAUAAGCCUCUCCUAAUCAGGUGAAAGCAGUUGUUAGACCUUUUGUUACACCUCCAGUUCUAAGAUUCAAGCAGCUUUUAAUUCCCAAGUCAAUUUAGCUUUGGGCAAAAAGCAAUUGUGCUACCCUGUCUGGUGCAUGCAGCAACCCACAGUGCUGCUCUGCCCAUCGGCUGCUGCAGGAGAUGCGCUGGGAGCUGCAGGCAGGGGCUGUAGAAAUUGAGGUGUUUGAUGUUUGCUUGUUUAUAUAUUUAGCAGCUGCUGUCUCCACAAGAGCCCCUUUCUGCAGAGGAGUGAUAAGCCAUGCUUGACUCCUGCUUGCCCACCCCUGCUGGCUCCCGUUUGCUGCCAUCUCAUCAACAGGCACCAAAAAGCUCCACUUCCAUCCCUGCUGGGCUGCCACCCCUGCCCUGCUCUGAAAUGCUGCCUGAGUGUCAUGGAAACAGCACAUGGAGCUGCCGUGCACAGGAAGGGAGAGGGGAGCAAGCCAAGGGAGCCUGGUACUAA
rnacentral:lncRNA from 1 species